AUUGAACGCUGGCGGCAGGCCUAACACAUGCAAGUCGAGCGGAUGAAGGGAGCUUGCUCCUGGAUUCAGCGGCGGACGGGUGAGUAAUGCCUAGGAAUCUGCCUGGUAGUGGGGGAUAACGUCCGGAAACGGGCGCUAAUACCGCAUACGUCCUGAGGGAGAAAGUGGGGGAUCUUCGGACCUCACGCUAUCUGAUGAGCCUAGGUCGGAUUAGCUAGUUGGUGGGGUAAAGGCCUACCAAGGCGACGAUCCGUAACUGGUCUGAGAGGAUGAUCAGUCACACUGGAACUGAGACACGGUCCAGACUCCUACGGGAGGCAGCAGUGGGGAAUAUUGGACAAUGGGCGAAAGCCUGAUCCAGCAAUGCCGCGUGUGUGAAGAAGGUCUUCGGAUCGUAAAGCACUUUAAGUUGGGAGGAAGGGAAGUAAGUUAAUACCUUGCUGUUUUGACGUUACCAACAGAAUAAGCACCGGCUAACUUCGUG
rnacentral:rRNA from 1 species